rnacentral:lncRNA from 1 species
AUUUCUGGGACAGAGCUUUAAAGAAGGAGGUGUUCCACCUCCAAGCUCUCAUUUUUCUUUCACUGACUGGAGGCAGAUGAUGAAUUUGAAGCCCUGACAAAGAGAAGGCAAAAUCAGUUUGUGUCCCUGAGUUGCUAAGUGGAGAAGAAACGUCCACCAACCAGGAAACACCUGCCUCCAACUGUUAAUAGGUCUGUGAAAUGUGCUUUGUUUCUGGUCAGCAUGGACACCCGCUUUAAUAGUGGCUUCAGAUGAGGCACCUUGUGACAGAGGAGCUCUUCCCCUGCAGCAACCUUGAAGAUGUUGUGGAAGACAAUAGCCAUUCUUACUUCACUCUGAGGAUCACGAUGGCGUGCAAGGGUGUGCCAAGCACAUUGCUAUCUUUGGCCAUUCUCUCUCACAUUAGUACACCUGGAUGUGAAUGGCACGUUAUCUAUGUAAGCAGUGAUGGUCUCUAUCUGGUGGUAGAAAUGACAGAAUUACACACAAUCAGGACAGCUGAGAUUCCAUUUACUAGCUCAGUAAUCAGAGAAUAUGUAUGACAUCCCAGCAAAAAAUGUUGAACAUGUUCAGAUUUCAUCAUAUCAGCACCACAGUAUCAGUCUUACUGGGAGGUGCUCGCAUUCAGUUCCUGGCUACUGAAGAAAUUUUGCAGGAGUUCCAGAUAACUUACUUGUCCCAUAAUAAUGAAAACUAUUACAAUUAUGCUAAAGAAGAAUACUUAAUAACACAGUAAAAAUGUUUAUGAUGUCUUUUAAUUUCUAAAGCAUGUUAUAAAAGUAUUACAGUAUGAUCUCAUAUUUGUAAGUAAAAUAUAUAUUAAUUCAUUUAGCAAAUAAAUAUUAAGCCCCUACUAUGCACAUACCAAUAUAGAUAUUGGUAUUUGUGUGGGUGUGUGUUACAGCAGAUUUUAAUUUUCUUAUUUUGUAUUUUCUGAUUUAUCUACAAUGAAUUUGUAUUAAUUUGCUAACAAAACAUCACUAUUAAAAUAAAUUUUUUUUGAAUUAUAAGAAAAGGCUAACAUCAUAACAAUAAGGUUGUAUAGAAUAAACUGACAACACAGAAGUUAUUUUGGCCCUGUGUUCCACAGUGACUCACCAAAUAUACCCUGCACUGUUUAUUUUAUUUUUUUCUAUUUCACUAUUGAAAUGAACAGAUGCAUUUCACGUCACAUGGAUCUCGUGGAAACAUGCCAAACAUUUUCUUAGCAACCAAACUCCUGUCUUCUGCACUGUGCAUGAUUAACUAAAACAGCCUGUUGACGGCUUAAAAUAAACCUGCCUUUUCCAUUUAGCAUUUUAUCAAAUGAAUAUAAUUUCAUUUGCUGAUGAAUUUAGUUCAGCUUCAAGAGAAUUUUUCUUUUCUUCAUGGGGAGGCUGAAGAAUCAGAACUGUCAUACCAAAGAAUGAAAAGCAAGCCUAGGGAGAACAAGACAGUCUGAUGUUUACAUGGGGUUAACUUAUUUGAUCAGUGAAAUCAGAAAAGGAUCAUUCUGCAUUCGUGGACUACUCUCAUUGACACACUCGCUUACCCAUCUGAAAACAGCGUGAGUUCUGUGUGGAAACCUCCCUGAAUCAUACAAUGAACACAGUCUGGGUUCCUGAUUUGUAUCUGUUACCCUUCAUGGAAAUGGCUGGUGAAGCAAAACUAUGUGUGUAAAACUGCAUCUGCCACAGGCUGCUUGUCCACAAAAGCAGCAAAGCAUCUCUAUGGAAUACCUCCGUAUGGAUCUGUAAAGAAGAGUCCCACUUCAGUCAAAGACAGUAGAUUAUGAGAUUAAAGAAGACUGAAGAGAUAUGAAAACUAAAUGCAAUUCAUGAUCUUGUACCAGAGGGAAGAAAAUUCUAUCAAGAACAAUAUUGUAUCAACUGACAAAAUCAUAAUAUGAAUGACAGAUCAGAUAAAUGUGUUGUGUCAAAGUUAAAUUUCCUGAAGUUGAAAACUACAUUAGAAUACAGUCUAAGAGAAUGUCCUAGUUUGGGGAAAUAUACAUACAACUAUUUAAAGGUAUGGGCAUGACACAACUCACUCACAAAUAGUUCUUUAGCUAUUCUUGCCACUUUAACUUUGAAACUACUUCCAAAUGAAAAAAUUAAAAAUUUUAAAAUAUGUAAGAACACCACAAGUAUAGUAACUUUAGUAAGUGGCAUCUGAAUUCUACUUCAUCAGAAUUUUCUGAAUGCAACUUGUCCUUAUUCCCUAACCCUAAAUAGCAAAUGACUUAGAGUGUUCAAUUUUUUUCUUUCCUUAAUAACAUUAUUCAAAUGUGUAUGGCUCCUGAUAAGCCAUCCCCUACCACUGUAUCCACCUUUCUUUGUUCUACCUAAGCAAUUCACAGUUAAGCUGGAAGAUAUUAGAAGACGCUCACUCUUUCUUUCUCAAGGGAUGCUGACUUGUCACAUGCUUAAACAAACUCUUUUUCUUACCAUCCUCCAGCUUUUCAACCUCCUGUUUUACGACAUGGAGUUCUUCAUCUGUAACAAAUUUUUCUUCUCUUUCCAUAAUUGGGUUUAGAAUCCCUGCUUCUCCAUGCCUGUCUUGCUUUUGAGAUUGCAAGUC